ACGCACGCUGGCGGCGUGCUUAACCCCUGCCAGUCGAACGGGUCUGCCCUGUUUUUUGCGGGGUGGGUCAGUGGCGAACGGGUGAGUAACACGUGAGUAACCUGCCCCUCACUUCUGGAUAACCGCUUGAAAGGGUGGCUAAUACGGGGUGUUCUGGCUGUGCCGCAUGGUGUGGCUGGGAAAGAUUCACUUUUGUGGUGUUUUGGUGGGGGAUGGGCUCGCGGCCUAUCAGCUUGUUGGUGGGGUGAUGGCCUGCCAAGGCUUUGACGGGUAGCCGGCCUGAGAGGGUGGGCGGUCACACUGGGACUGAGAUACGGCCCAGACUCCUGCGGGAGGCAGCAGUGGGGGGUAUUGCACAAUGGGCGGAAGCCUGAUGCAGCGACGUCGCGUGAGGGAUGGAGGCCUUCGGGUUGUGAACCUCUUUCGCCGGUGAAGAAGGUCCUGCUCUUUGUGGGGGGGUUGACGGUAGCCGGGUUAUGAAGCGCCGGCUAACUACGUG
rnacentral:rRNA from 1 species